rnacentral:rRNA from 1 species
GAGUCCGCCCAGACACUGGUCUGUAGUUGCAGUGUAUGUUGCACUGGGUGACUCGGUGGGCUACGGUGGCACAAUAAUCUGUGCAGGGCACCGGAGUUUUCGGUCUGUUUAAUGACGACUCCACACGCACUACAGCAUGGCGUGUGUGUGUGUCACAGCGCACACUGAUAGCGCUGCCAAGGUCUGCCAGAGGCCGGGUCUGAUCAUCGUGUCGCCUGUCAAAAUGACGGGUCCGGUGGUGGCCUGGAGCUGGACGGUGCCUGUGGGCGGCGUGGUCAGCGUGGGGUCGUGGAAAGGGACCUGAUAGUCUGUGGUGUAGUGGUAGACGAGCUACCCGACCCGUCUUGAAACACGGACCAAGGAGUUUAACAUGCGCGCGAGUCAUUGGGUCCUACGAAACCCAGAGGCGCAGUGAAAGUGAAGCCUCGACAUGUUCUCGGGGUGUGGUGAGAUCCCGCUGUUUCUCGCAUGCACUUGACGACCGGCAGUCUGGGCUAGUGUCAACUAGACGAGCAGUGGGCGCAUCACCGGCCCGUCCCAUGAUGUGGUUACUGGUCAGCGGCGGUUGGCGCCUUCGGGUGCGGGUCGCCUGUCUGGCGGGUACGUCAUCGGGGCGGAGCAUGAGCGCGCAUGUUGAGACCCGAAAGAUGGUGAACUAUGCUUGCGUAGGUUGAAGCCAGAGGAAACUCUGGUGGAGG